rnacentral:misc_RNA from 1 species
CUCAUCUUGCCUCAAAAAAAUGGUGAAAGAAAAUAUAGAGCAGCGGAGUGAGAUUACUUGAAGACACAGUGAGACUAUCUUCGGGUAUAUCAUAGGUGUACCCUUGUACAUUAGAUUUUGAUGUAAUUCUUUAAUUAUAUGUAUGCAAUUUCAUUCGAGCAGUUAUAUCAACUCUUUUGUAAUAUAUUUUUGGAAUGUAAUCAAAUACAAA